UCUUCCCACACUACUUCAACUUGUUCUUGCUUGCCCCUUGCUAUUGAAACUUUGAUUCUCUCCACUAUAAAGAAAGAAAAUGGGUCUUAAAGGUAAACUAACUGCCCAAAUUGAAAUUAGAGCUGGUGGAGAUGUCUUUCAUGAACUAUUUAGGUACAAACCACACCAAAUUCCCAACAUGAGCCCUACUAUUAUCCAACGCUGUGAUUUGCAUCAAGGAGAGUGGGGAACUAUUGGCUCCGUCAUCUUCUGGAAUUACACUCAUGGUAUGUUAAAUUGUAUUGAAAAAGAUCAUACUGAAUAGUACAACGAUAAUAUUUUAACUUAUUAUUCUAGUUAAAAGUGUCCAUUCUUUUCUAAUUCACUAUGCUAAUAGUAUUAUUGUCUAAUCAUGUGAUAUUUUAUUAUCCGUUGUGCUACAUGUAUAUAAUAGUUUAUAUACUGUUUGGUAUCGAUUAAAAUUUAUCUUUUAAUUUAAGUCAAAGUCAACAAUUCAUUUCAACCACAUAUUUUGUGGGUCUAACAACUUUUCAAGUACACAUUUCAUUAACUCCUAUCAAAAUCUCUUAAAUAUCUAAUCUUAAUCCCCACCAAAUAGGGUAAUAAUGGUUUACUUACACAUGAUGUGAUAAAAUAUGAUUGGUAGGAAUUUAUACAACCAAAAAAAUAAAUAAAUAAAAUAAAAUAAUCUCUUCCUUCUUUUUGAUACAUCAUCUAUAUGUAAAUCAUUAUAUAAUUUCAUUAUGUACAAGUAACAUUAUUCUUCUACUCUUAAGCUUAAAAAUUAAAUUCGAUAUGAUUGUAGAUGGGAAGCAAAAAGUAGCAAAAGAAGUAAUUGAAGCCAUAGACGUAGAAAAAAGGUCUGUGACAUUUAAGAUCAUUGAGGGUGAUUUGAUGGAGUUAUACAAGGCCUUCAAAGCCAGUUUUCAUGUUGAAACAAAUGGUGAUGUCGAUUUGGUGACAUGGACUUUCGAGUAUGAGAAGCUAAAUGACGACAUUGAAGAUCCACUAUCAUUGUUGGGUGUUUCCAUUAAGCUUACUAAAGAUAUUGAAUCUCACCAUCUCAAGGCAGCCUGAUAUGCAUAGGAGAGUCUCACUAAGCCAUCUCAACUUGUUUAUGCGAAUAUGUGUGUUUCUUUAUCGUUUUAGUAAUGAAAUAAAUAUUUCUUGGUGAUGUUUCUGGGUGAAAUAAUGUUGUGGCUUGGUGAUAAUUGUGUCACUGAGUGAUUAAGCAUAUUCUUAUUUUGUGAAAUAAUUAAAGUGCAGAAUACAAUUUAUGCCUUAUGGAGUACUUCUUCGCUUAUUUUUUUGGAGAAAAUUCACCUCCAACUGGUGGAUAAAUUCCGAAGAGUUGAUGAAUUCUUAUUUAAGAAUUGUUUUAGAUUAUAUAGAAUUAUGAAAUACUUUCAAAAAUUUUUAUAUACUUUUAUUCUAAAAGAUUUUUAUAAAGUUGCAUUAAAACAUUUAGUAUAUAUAAUCAUCAUAUAUCCCACUAAAUAAAGGAUAACUCGGAGCCAACCAAUAAUUAAGAUCAUACCAAAAUAGGUUGGCACAAUGAAUGAAAAGAGGUGCCCAUGCUUACCAAGAUAAUAUUAAAAAAAAAAAUCCUUCCCACCCACUCAACAGAAAAAUGGAAAACCCACUUCAAGAGAAAAUCUAAAAUAAAAAAUAUACAGAUCAAUAAUUAAUAUUACAAGAUGUAACGUAGGGUUCAAUUGUUCAUUUCUGCGUAGUUCUUAUGAGAAUUGAACUAAGCCAAGUACAAACAGAAAUCCUAAAUAGAGAAUCGUUGGUUUCCAGUCUAAUUACGGAGAUAGAACCACAUCAAAACUGACUACUAGUUGUAUUGGUUAGAUUCAGUUCUUGGUAUUAAAUUUUUGUAGAAUUUAUUUAGCCCCUGUUUGAUGGCCAUUAUUUGAUAAAAAAUUUGCUUUGAAUAAUGAAUUUUUGGAGAUUGUGUAGUUAAAAGGUAAGAAAAAUUUUUGAAUUUACGUGCAGAAUAUUUUAUUUUAUGAAUUGUGGUUAAAAAUGAAUAUGUAAAAUUAAAAAAAUUCGAUAUAAUAGCUAUGAAACAAGGGCUUUUGACAACACAAACUCUAUAUAUAAAUAUUCCGAUUAGUGUAAAACAAGCAGUAAGCAAUAAUAUUACCAACAUAUGUGUAUACUUUAAAGAUUUUGAAAGAUUUUCAAAAUUUUUUAUAUACUUUUAUUCUAAAAUAUUUUUAUGAAGUUGCAUUAAAACAAUUAGUAUAUAUAAUCAUCAUAUAUCCCACUAAAUAAAGGAUAACUUGAAGCCAACCAAUAAUUAAGAUCAUACCAAAAUAGCUUGGCAUAGUGAAUGAAAAGAGGUGCCCAUGCUUACCAAGAUAAUAUUAAAAAAAAUCCUUCCCACCCACUCAACAGAAAAAUGGAAAACCCACCUCAAGAAAAAAUGUAAAAUAAAAAAUAUGCUGAUCAAUAAUUAAUAUUACAAGAUGUAAUGUAGGGUUUAAUUUUUCAGUUCUAAGUAGUUCUUAUGAGAAAAGUACAAACAGAAAUCCUAAAUAGAGAAUCGUUGGUUUCCAGUGUAAUUAUGGAAUCAGAACCACAUCAAAACUGACUACUAGUUGUAUUGGUUAGAUUCAGUUCUUGGUAUUAAAUUAUUUUAGAAUUUAUUUAGCCCCUGUUUGAUGGCCAUUAUUUGACAAAAAAAUUGUUUUGAAUAAUGAAUAUUUGAAGAUUGUGUGGUUAAAAAGUAGAAAAAAGUUUUGAAUUUAAUACUUUAUUUUAUGAAUGUGUGGUUAAAAAUGAAUAUGUAAAAUAAAAAAAAAUCGAUAUAAUAGCUAUGAAACAAGGGCUUUUGACAACACAAACUUUUUAGAUUAAUAUUCCGAUUAGUGUAAAACAAGCAGUAUGCAAUAAUAUUACCAGCAUAUGUGUAUACUUUAAAAAUUAUCUAUGCUAUAUGCCUACAUUUAUAUCUAUUUAGAUUUACAAUCUAUAAAAUGUGUGAAUAGGUGAAAUUAAAACAUUUAGUUUUUCAUUUUGUCCUUAUAUUUUUUUAGUUCAUAAUCAACCAUAACCUUAUGCCUAUCAAAUAAUUACUGACAUUAUUAUAUAGGUCAACAUUUUAAAUUAAACUUUAAAAUGCUAUAAAUUCUAAAACGUUCAGUUCAUGUCCACCACAUAAUUACGGGCAAACCUAUUAUUUACGACAGUUUGGUGGAAAAUACGUUGAUAUAUAGGAAGUUUUGUUUGGUGAAAAAUACGUUGAUAUAUUGCCGUGGCAUAAUUUCUUGUGACGAUGCCAAACUAUGGUAAUACUAUUUGAGAGUCCAGCGGUUAUAAGGGGGCGAUUGCUGUUGCAAAGUGGCAAAGCUAUGGCAAAUGGUUUUUGCUACAGUUUUGGUACUAUUUGCCAUAGUUUUUUUAGCUUGGCAAAUCCUGAUUUUCUUGUAGUGUACCCAGCAAAUUACGUUUUCCCUUAAAACCCAAUUUUUAAUUAUUUAUAUUAUUAGUUUAAAAAAUUAUUCAUAUUAUUUACGACAUUUGAAUUUUUAUAUAAUGGACAUAAAUUUUAGAAUUUGUUGCAAAUGAAUGUAAAUAAUGUAAAUAUAUAACGGUCAUUUUAUUAUGCUUAUGUUGACAGUAAACACAAUAGAUAUCUUUCAUAUUUUCUUUCUCUAUUUUUUGUUUCCCUAUACUCAUCAUUAAUAUUAUAUACUUAAUGAUGACAUUGGAAGCAUUUUUAUAUAAUGGACAUAUAUUUUCAGAAUUUGUUGCUAAUGAAUGUAAAAUGACGUUAAACAAUGAUGUUCGUAUUGAGAUGUUGUGCUGUGAAUGAUCAUUUGACACCCAAAAAAAAAUAAAAAAAAAUAACCUAUUAAGUGGAAUGCAACUUUAAAAGAGAGGGCACAUCUUUUGGUUCAAAACUACUUAAACUAGAUUGUCAUAAGCAAUUUACAUGCUCCAGGAGAAAUGUUCGUAUGUACCUCAUCCAUGUAGAACAUUUGAGGGUAUGAUUUGCAUGGUUUGUCUAAAAUCAAAUGCUGAAGAUGCUACCCUAGGUGCCUCUAUCUUGAUCAACUGGCAAAGAUGUAUCUCCCUAUCUCCCUCAUUCUAUACUUUUUAAGAACCCCCUAAAAACUCUUACUUUGCCAGUACUCUUAGAGAUUGUCGCGACACUGCCCUUUUACUGUUUGGAAGCCGGGAAAAAGGUCCAUUAAAUAAUAAAACAGGCUGAGUAAUAAGGAUGAUCACAUUAAAUGAUACACACCCCCAAUAGAUCAUGACUCAUUGGUACAGAAGAAGAAUUAAUGCCCACAGCCCCAAAAAAUUAUCUUAAAAAACUCAUUUCUCUCUUUAUAUUUGUUAAUUUCUUUAUUCAAUCAAAUUUUCUAUUUAGACUUAUAUUAUUUUUGAUGAAGACAGGACAUGGAUGUCACGAAGAUGGGUGACAACUGGCUCAUUUUCAUUAUUAUUUCUUCCUUUUUUUCUUUUUUCUUUUUUUAAUGUUUAUAAGCCCUUUUUCAUUUAUUAUUUACUAAUUGGCCUCUUCUAGUAAUCAUUAGUAGUCUAGGGUGUUUAGUUUUAAUUUUUAUUAUUUAAGCGAAAGAUGUGUUCCGUAGCUUUGUCCCUCGUUGAAUCAUAAAAACUUGAGUUUGGGGUGAUUUUCAACUUUCAUUUAUUGUAUUCAAAUCAACGAGUUUUGUUGAUCUUGUUGUAUUCUUCACUUCCAUCACGACAUCAAUUGACUAUGGCUCAUGCAGAAAAAAUAAAGAAUAUGAGCAAUGAACUGAUUCUCCAGCUUCUAGAACUUCAAAGUUUGAAAUAGAGAUAUUUUCAAAAUAAUUAUAGUUUAUUAAUAAUAUCACAAUAUUAAUCACUCAGAAACUUCGCAAAGCAACAUUUAUUCAUUACCAAGUAGUACGGUAAUUAUUCGACCAAGACAAACUAUGAAAACGAAACACACAUGAUAAGUGUGUUUUUGCACACUUUAUUUAAGUCACAAACAUGACUUAAUUAUGAGCAAAAAGAUUGAAUUGUGACUUAAUAUUGUUACAUUUGUGAAUUGUAGGGAACACUGAUGAACAUGGUGAAAUUCAGGAGAAAAGACGCGAAAAGGACUAAAAUGACGCAAAGUGAAAGUUCAGGGACCAAGGUGCAAUUAUCCAAAAGUUGACCCGAUGAACAAAUCAAGAAAUUGAUUAAGCCAAAUGCCAAUUGAUGAUAUCUUGGGAUGAUGAGAUGGAAAGAAUGAAGAAAAUAUGCCAAGAAGUGAAAGAUUCAAGUAGAAGGACCAAAUUGGAGAAAAUGAAAGUUAGAGUCUACCAUGCGGCCGCAUGGUAGAACUCUCGUGCGGUCGCACAAAUGAGUGCAGAAAAUUUUGGAGACAGCAUGACAUAACCAUGCGGCUGCACGGAUUAAAGCCAUGCGGUCGCAUGGUAGGUUUCCGACGCGAAAAUUUUACUUUCCUUGUACAAUAGAAACUCUUUUGGUAACAAAAUUUUCAUGCGAUAUAAGUACCAAAAGACGUACAAAACGAAGGGGACGCCGAUUUUACAAGAAAAAAAGGGAGAUUUUCAAGGAGAAAACGAAGAUAGAACAAGAGAAAAAUAUUGCGCCAAUUGAAGAAUUGAUUGAAAUUUGAUUCAGAUGAUGACGUUUCUUCAACUAUUUUUGUAUUUUCUUCUUUUUAGUAUGUUAGGCUAGAUUUUUUUAUGUACAAAGAGAUCGAUGAACCUUGCAAUACAAGUUUUGAUUUUUGAUUUGGAGAUUUAAACACAUGUUCUAGAAUUGAAAGAUUUAUACGUUUUUAUUUCCAUAUUAUUAUUGUGCACGUAAUUAUAUGAUUUUGGUGGCCUGUUUUAUGCAUUCGAGAGAAGGAAAAUAGGCUCAACAUAGUAUAAAUCAUCAUAGGGUCCGAUAGAGGAUAGAAAUAUACCUCUAUGCCUCGUGUGAAUUGUUGAAUAUUUAUGAAAUCAUAAUACAUUCCUGUAUGUUAGUAUUCGUCAUAGAGAUAUAGUCGAAUCACAUAUUAGGGUAGGUUUGGCAUUACUGGAGAGAGAUUGCUAAAUUAAGAUAGGAAUAUUGAUUCAUCAAUUGUGGGACUGUGCGUCAAAUUUGCAUGAUUAAAAGUUGAGCGGGUGUUGCUUGGGAACGUGAUCCUAGUGCGUUAGUAAUUCAUGAAUUCCAUAAAUUUUUGUAGAUUGCAUCCAGGUCAUUUUACAUUUAGUAUAAGUUUCUCACUCAUGAUCGCAUCAUAGUUCACAUCUUCAUUUGUUAGAUCACAACACAUACACCUUACUUUCGUGUUUCGUUUAAGGUCAUAAUAGGAUGAUUUGAACUAAUCCAAUCCUUGUGGGAUCGAUACUUGGACUCAUAAUCCAUUUUACUACUUGUUAACGAACCGUACACUUGCGAUAAGCUUUAAAUCAAAAGAAAUAAUUUUAAGAACAAGUUUUUGGCGCUGUUGCCGAGGAUUGAAAUUUAGUUUAAUUUUAUCUACUGUGACACUAAUUCGAAUUUACCUAGAUUAGUAGUAGUUAGCUUACUAGACUUAGUUUAUUGUUUACUUUAAUUUAAUUUUGUGCUAUUUUAUUAUCUCAGGGCUUGUAUGCAAAGAUCACCUGAUUGAGAUUUGGUUCCAAUUGAUCCAAAGAUCAAACGCACAUUUUGUCACAGGCAAAGGAAAGUAAGAGCGGCACAACAAAUGGCUAACGAGCAAAAUCGUCCGGUAAUUGAACUCAACGAAGGUGCGGGGGUUGAAGAUGAAGGGAAUAUGGUACUUGGGGGCUUCAUGGCACCGUUGGUGGUCCAAAGUUAAUCUAGCAUUGUGUAUCCUCCAUUUGGGCAACCGAACUUCCAUCUGAAAAUAAAUGUAAUUCAACUAUAUCAGAAUGGGCAUCAAUAUCACGGGAUAGCUAAUGAGAAUCCACACACACACAUAUCCCGAUUUCUGGAUAUGUGCCAACACUUAGGUACCAGGGUAUCUCAGACGAUGCUAUAAGAUUGCGAUUGUUUCCACACACCUUGCGGGAUAAAAGUACUUGAAUGACUGGAUUCACUUCCUGUCGCAAGUAUCACCACUUGGAACGAGCUAGCCCACAAAUUCUGUACCAAGUACUUCUCGCCAGCUAAGGUAGCAAAAAUGCGGCAUGACAUAUUCUUAUUCAACUAAGACGAGUCCGAAUCAUUUUAAGAGGCUUGGAAUCACUUCAAAAAAUAUGUUAAGGAAGUGUCCUUAGCAUGGCUUUGAUAAAAAGACACAAAUUCGAUUUUUCUACACUAGAUUACUUCCAUCCUUCAAGAGCAUGGUGGAUUCAUCAUCCAACGGGUCAAUCUCCAUGAGAACAAUUGACGUAGCAUGGUAACUGUUUGAGAGAAUGACUACAACUUCAGCCAUGUGGUAUACAGAUCGAGUGGUUCAGAAGAAAACGCUGGGGGUUUAUGAAGUAGAUACUUACUCAGCAUUAUCCAUGAAGAUAGACUCCUUGUUCCAUAAGGUUGAGAGCAUUUCACAGACCGCCAAUGCAAAACAAGUCAAGAAGCCAAGCUGUGAAGAAUGUGGAGCAAACCACAAUACUGUCAAUUGUCAAAUUCUCGCACAGGGGAUCGAACAUGUAGAUUUUGUGCAAUGGGGUCAACGCCAAUAGAACAAUCCACAUUCGAAAACCUUAAAUCAGGGCUGGAGAAAACACUCAAACUUCUUAUGGAGUAACCAGAAUCAAAACAGACCACAAGGUCAACUUCAGCAGGAAGAUAAAAAGCCACCAUUGGAAUAGAUGUUUGAGAAGUUUAUGGCAACGAAAAAUCAGUACAUGGAGGCUAACAAGCAGUUUAUUCGAAAGACAGAAGCAACUCUCCAAGAUUAAAGUGCUGCAAUCAAAAAUUUGGAGACGCAAAUGGGACAGAUGACAAUCUCCAUGAUAGGUAGAGCACUAGGAAACCUACCUAACAACACUGAAAUCAAUCCUAAGGAGCACGCAAAGGCUAUAACAACCAGAAGUGGAUUACAACUACUUGAGAUACAUGUGAAAAGAUCGGUAGCUAGCAAGGAAUCAGCGCCAACCUCAGAUGACGAGAUUGUGGAACAGACUGAACAAACAACAGAGGAUGUUGCUAAGAAGAGUUCCAAUACAUCACGGGUUACAGAUACCAAUUCUAUCAACCCUAAUGAGCCACCUAUUCCAUUCCCACAGAGGUUGAAAAGCAUAAAUUGGAUCAGCAAUAUAGUAAAUUUCUUAAAGUCUUCAAGAAACUACACUUUAACAUCUCAUUUGCUGAGACACUUGUUCAGAUGCCGAGUUAUGCGAAAUUCCUAAAGGAUAUCCUCUCUAAUAAGCGAAAGAUAGAAGAAAAUGAAACAGUGAUGCUAAUUGAGGAAUGCAGUGCCAAAAUCCAGAAAAAGCUGCCUUCAAAACUAAAGGAUCUAGGGAGUUUUACUAUACCUUGCACUAUUGGAAAUUGUCAUUUUGAUAAAGUUUUGUGUGAUUUAGGUACAAGUAUUAAUUUGAUACCUCUCUUUAUUUUCAGAAAACUCGGCUUGGGAGAAGCUAAACCCACAACAGUCACCCUACAGUUAGCAGAUUGAUCCCUUACACAUCCAAGAGGGAUCAUUGAAGAUGUGUUGGUAAAAGUAGAAAAGUUUAUAUUUCCAGCCGUUUUUCUCAUCUUAGACAUGGAGGAAGAUAAGGAUGUUCCACUCAUAUUGGGGUGACCCUCCUUAGCUACUGGAAGAACUAUUGUCGAUGUUCAAAAAGGGUAGCUUAUAUUGAAGCUUGGCGAAGAACAGAUCUCUUUCAAUGUGUUAAAUGCAAUGAAAUUUCCCACUGAGUCAGACAGCUAUUUCCAGAUCAAGGUAAUUGAUAGAACAAUUCAAGAUACAUUUUGGCUACAUCAUACUUCCAUGCAUACGAGGCAUGCAUUGCACAUUCUCAAUCCACUCACACUGAUUCAAGUGAGAUUGAAACAUGUGCAGGAUUUUUGGAAACUAGUUCACCAUACAUGCGCAAACGUCACUUCGAAGAACUGGGAACUAGGACUACAAAGUCAGUGCCAUCUAUUCAGCAACCUCCCAAGUUGGAACUCAAACAAUUGUCACCACACCUUCGAUACGCUUACAUGGGGGAGUCUUCUACACUCCCGGUUAUUAUUUCAAAUACUGUCAGUGAAGUGAAGGAAGAGAGACUACUUUAGGUACUGAGGGAGAAUAAAACAGUCAUAGGAUGGUCAAUUGCAGAUAUCAAUGGGAUCAACCCAUCACUAUGCAUGCACAAAAUACUCAUGGAGGAAAAUUUCAAGCCAAUCAUUGAUGGUCAGCGGAGAUUGAAUCCAAAUAUGAAGGAAGUGGUUAGGGCUGAGGUAUUGAAGUUACUCGAUGCAGGCAUCAUCUACCCAAUAUCAGAUAGUGCAUGGGUCAGUCCAGUGUAGGUUGUUCCAAAGAAGGGAGGUAUCACAGUGGUGCAGAACGAGAAAAAUGAGUUGAUUCCUACAAGAACAGUGACUUGAUGGAGAGUUUGCAUCGAUUACCACAAACUAAAGGCUGCUACUCGAAAUGAUCAUUUUCCACUACCAUUCAUUGAUCAGAUGUUGGAAAGACUAGCAAAGCACUCACAUUACUGUUUUCUGGAUGGGUACUCCGGGUAUAAUCAGAUUCUAGUAGCACCUGAUGACCAGGAGAAGACAACUUUCAUAUGCCCCUACGGUACCUUUGCAUACCGUAGGAUACCCUUUGGUUUGUGCAACGCCCCUCCACCUUUCAGCACUGCAUGAUGGCUAUCUUUUCUUAUAUGAUUGAGAAAUUCAUCGAGGUAUCCAUGGACGACUUCUUAGUGUUUGGGUCUUCGUUUGAUGAGUGUUUGGAGCAUCUGAUUCUUGUGUUACAACGGUGUACAGAGACUGACUUGGUAUUGAAUUGGGAGAAAUGUCACUUUAUAGUACAGGAGGGCAUCGUGUUAGGACACAGAAUAUUAGCAAAGGGUAUUGAGGUGGACAGAGCAAAGAUUCAGAUGAUUGAGAAAUUACCGCCACCAACAUCAUUGAAAGGUGUUCGUAGAUUCCUUGGGCAUGCCAGGUUCUACAGAAGGUUCAUAAAGGAUUUUUCAAAAAUUACUAAAAUAUUAUGCUGUUUGUUGAUGAAAAAAUCCACAUUUGAGUUCACAGAUGAGUGUUCGAUGGCUUUUAAUACCUUUAAAGAGAAAUUGAUUUCAGCACCCGUGAUCAUCACACCGGAUUGGAACCUGCCAUUUGAAUUAAUGCACGACGCCAGUGAUUUUGCUGUUGAUGCCGUAUUGGGACAACGAAGAAAUAAGAUAUUUCAUGUAAUUUGCUAUGCAAGUAAGACCUUGAACGACGCUCAAUUAAACUAUGCCACUACAGAGAAAGAGUUCCUUGCAGUAGUCUACGCCUUUGACGAAUUUCGAUCAUAUCUUGUGGGGUCAAAGGUCAUCGUUUACACAGAUUAUACAGCCAAAGAAGGAUGCCAAGCCCCGUCUCAUUCUUUGGAGACUGCUGCUUCAAGAGUUCGAUCUGAAAAUCAGGGAUAAGAAGGGCAGUGAAAAUGUGGUAGCAAACUACUUGUCUCGACUCGAGACCACAGAGCAGAUAGAGACCGAGGAAAUCAAUGAAGUCUUUCCAAAUGAGCAGAUUUUCGAUUUGGGGAAGGCAUCCUAGUAUGCUGACAUAGUUAACUACUUAACCAGGUCUAUCAUUCCGCCAGAUUACUCUAAUCACCGAAGAAGAAAAUUUUCGCUGAGUUGAAGUAUUAUUUUUGGGAGGAUCCUAUUCUUUACAGAAGAGGAGCUGAUCAAAUCGUUUAUCGUUGCGUACUUAAGGAAGAAAUACCCUUAAUACUAGAACAUUAUCAUUCAUCUACAUACGCAGGACAUUUUGGUACUUCAAAAACAGCAGCGAAGAUCCUUCAAUCAGGUUUUUACUGGCCUACGUUGUUUAAGGAUGCCUUUGAAUUCGUGAAAAGGUGUGACCGAUGUCAACGCACCGGUAAUAUAUCUAGGAGAAACGAAAUGCCUUUAAACAGUAUCCUGGAGGUGGAACUAUUCGACGUCUGGGGGAUCGACUUCAUGGGGCUAUUUUUCCCAUCAUUCUCUAAUCAAUACAUAUUGGUGGCUGUGGAUUACGUAUCGAAGUGGGUAGAAGCCAUUGCAUUACCUACCAAUGAUGGGAAGGUGGUGAUUGAUUUUCUAAAGAAAAAUAUUUUCACCCGCUUUGGCACACCGAGAGCUAUAAUCAGUGACGGGGGCAAACAUUUCUGCAAUCGCCAAUUUGAACAGUUCUUGACUAAAUACGGGGUUAAACAUCGUGUAGCCACUGCAUAUCAUCCACAAACCUGCGAACAGGUUGAAGUGUCCAAUAAGCAAUUAGAGCGAAUACUUGAAGUCACAGUAAGCUCUUCACGAAAAGAUUAGUCUAAGAAGCUGGACGACGCCUUGUGGGCCUAUAGGACUGCAUUCAAGACUCCAAUAGGGAUGUCACCAUAUCGACUGGUUUUCGAGAAGGCAUGUCACUUACCUCUCGAGAUAGAACACCAUGCUUAUUGGGCAAUGAAAAAAUUGAAUUUGGACUUGAAGGCUGCGGGUGAAAAUUGUUUAUUACAACUUAAUGAGCUAGAUGAGCUCAUAAUGGAGGCCUACGAAAAUUCAAGACUCUAUAAAGAACGCACCAAGAAGUGGCAUGAUAUGCAUAUUCAAAGGCGUUAAUUUAAAGUGGGGCAAAAAGUGUUACUCUACAACUCUAGGUUUAAGCUGUUUCCAGGAAAGCUGCGAUCGAGAUGGUCUGGUCCCUAUACUAUUACAAAGGUAUUUCCACAUGGGGCAAUUGAGAUCACUCAUGACAGUAAGGGGACAUUUAAGGUCAAUGGACAGCGUUUGAAAUACUAUUGGAGCAGUGAUUUCUCAAAGAAAAAGUCUACCGUUCAUCUUAGACCACCAGAAUGACACAAUAUGGUAAAGUCAAGCUAUUGACUAUAACCUAGCGAUGGGUGGGAGGCAACCCACUGUAUCCUUUUAAAUUUAAUUUAUUUUGCUUUUUGCAUCAGAUUAGGAAUUUUUCAAUUUCAUUUUCAAAUUUUUUUUUUAAAUUAGGUCAUUGAUCGUCCAUAUAUGUUAAAAAAGUCCAAGCACUGUCCACAUGAGUCCCUGAGCAUCAUACACGAGUUCGAGUUUAUUGGAGUUGUUUUUGGUAAUUGGGGGUGUAAUUCACGCAUUUCGAGGCAAAAGUUUAUUUUCAAAAUUUCAAAUGUCAAUGCUUAAUUGUGAAUUUCAAAAAUUCGGUUUCGGGCACUAAGUUUAUGGUCUAUGCAUACCCCAAAAUGUUUAGAAAUGUAUCUUUGAAAAAUUUUGGGUCAUUGAGAAGUCAGGGCGACUACUAAAUUGAAAACCAAAUUUUGGAGUGCAAUUUAAUCAAACUUGUGAUUUUGGGGGAAUUGAAUAUAUUUUCAAAGUUUUUAUUUUUAAAUUCGCUUUUUUUUAGCAUGGUAAAAAAAAAUGGUUCAUGUGGUCGCACAGUUUUUUAGCAUGGUAAAAAAAAAAUGGUUUAUGCGGUCAUACCGUGCGACCGCACAAACAGAGGUUGGGAUUCAAGUGGCCAAAGCCACUUGAACCAUGCGAACACACGGCUUAAAGCCAUGUGGCCGCAUGGCAGAAUCAGGCGUGGUUUUUUAACCCACGCCCGGUUCCUUCUUACCCAUUCAAAUUUUCCCCCAAUUCUCUCACGACCACAAGCAUUCUAGGGCACGAUUUCUACACACGGCCGAGUUCGAAUCACAUACACUACACACAAAUAUCAUUUUUGAAGUGUAAUAUCAUCUAAAGUAAAUCAUUUUUGAACUCAAAUCAACCCCUACAAGUACAAGGUAAUGUUUCUUAAAUCCCUCUCGGUUCCGUCAUUAGGGUAAGUCACGUUUGAAAUUUCAAUUUUGAGGAAUUGAGGGAGAUUGGGCUAGUUCAUGUAUGUGUGGAUUUGAUGUGAUUGUGUUGUGAGGACUAUGGGAUGAUUUGAAACUUCAAUUCACUAUAUUGCUAAUACAUUCACAUUAUGCAUGCUAUAUGUUUGAUGAAAUGCCAUAGUAAAUAUUCUAUGUUUCAUGGUGCUUCUUGCAUUGCAUGUGAUUGGUGGAUGAAUUAAAAUACAUAUGGUGAUGCAUUCCUAUGUACAUUAACUUGAAAGGCACUUAUCUCAUAGUAGUAGAUGCUAGAUUGUUAAAUGUGUGUCAUUUUGGCAUUAAUUAGACUCCAAUUGUUGAAAUUCUAGAGAUCCCAUACAAUGGCAUGCUACAUGUUUGAUCAAUUGUCAAUGUGAAAUGAGUUAUGCAUUUCGGUGAAUUUGCGCAUUGGAUAUACAAACUGGGAUGUGAAUAACGUUGAUGCUCUCUCUGCUUGUUAAAGUGACGAGGUAUAACAGUUGAGACGUUCGUGAAUAUGGUUGCAAUAUGUACUAUUUAGCUAGUGCUUGUUUAGCCACUCAAUAAAUUCCUUACACUACACAGUAUACAUGCUAUGCAUUCACAUGAGUGAUAUAUGAAUGAGAGUGGCGUAAUGUGAUGAAUUCCCAUAACACAUGAAUUGGAAAUUACAAGAACCAAACUUGACCAUACGUAGGCAACACUUGUAGGCACAACAUGACUAGGUCACGUCACGGCACCUCACUUCACCCACUUUGCACCGUAUUUUGCCAACCUAAACGACAUCCAUUUGACUUGAAUUUUGGAUAUGUGCUAAGAUAGUAUGGACACUUUCGUACGCCUGGAGAUCAUUCUGGAAAAUUUCAAUUUUCUAGGUAAUUCCAUGCACUGAAAGUUCUAGUUUGGUCAUGGGUUACUUCCAUCAAAGUGUAUGUUUUGAGCUAAUUUUUGUUGGUGUUUCACAUUCCUUUGAUACUACCACUACCUUGGAACAUGUUUCAUGCAUUUUACACAUCAACGUCAUGUACAUGUAUUUUGAAGCAAGUUUGGGAAAUUUGUGCAAUGCAUACUUUAUUUUCUCACUUCAUGCCUAUUCUUUUCACAUCAAACUUAAUGAGUGUAGUUUUACAAACUUUGUAGAAUGCCUCCUAAGAGGACUUUGCACGGGAAAGAAAAAGUAAGCUCCUCCUCCGGGACAGCCCGUACUCGAGAGCUUGCAGGGAAAGUUCAGUGAUUCUUAAAUGCAGAAACCACAGCGCGAUAUGAGAAUAUCAUACGCCAUUGGACUAUACACGCUGAAAGACCGGUUAAGCUUGAUGAUUUCCUAGCUUUUGAGUUGGUCAACUUAGUUCAGAUUUGUGGGUGGCACAAAUUGGUGGAGCGACCACAUCCAAUCUAUGAGGAUCUAUGCCGAGAGUUCUUCGCCAACUUCAACAGUGAAAUUGACACGCCAGGUUCCGAGCAUUUCCAUCAGACUUGGGUGUGAGGGAAGUGGAUUAUGUUCUCUCCUGAGGUCAUUCAUGAUUACUACCAGCUCACCGUGGAGAACGUGAUCCUUAUCCCAGUUGAAUUUAACUGGAAUGAAAUGGCUGAGGUUUUGAUGGGGCGGGAAAAUGCAUGGCCCCUUGCAGCUACUAAGUGGUAUCAGAUCGAGCUUACCACAUCCACAUCCAUAGCCAUUCUCUGGCUUUUCAUGUGCCACAAUAUCGAACCCAUAUCACACAGGACUACAUUUUCUGAUCAGACAGUAGGGUUCAUCCACCACUUGGUUCGGGGUAACAAGAUAGAUCUCGCCACUCUUAUAUACAAUCAACUAUACACAUUGGGAACUUGGAGAGAUCGUCGCUCCACUCUGAUAUUCCCGAGCCUCAUUAGUGGCAUAUGUAGGGCUACGGGUGUUGCACUCCUAUCUGAGGAGGUACCUGAAAAACCCAGCCCCAUGAUCAAACGUACUACAUUUGAAGCUCAAGCAAGAGCUCGGGUUAAACAUAGAGAAGAACAAGAAAAUGAGCACCGUAGACGGUAGGCAAAGCAAGGCCCAGUCUCUGCAGAUCAGGAACUCCCACAGGAUCCAGCACCACAUGCUAACGUGGAUACUCAAUUGCAGAGAUGGAUAUUCUCCACCACCAUGGGAAUCAGCUGAGACCUCCAUAGUUUCCUUCAGGAUUUCGACGCCAUGAGGACUGAGUUGCAGGGUUUACAAAGAGACAAUCACCUUACACUAAAUUACAUUAGAGAUACUUGGGACGACACCACAAUCAUGCGACGAGAGAUUGAUACCAUGAAUGGACGACUAAACAUGUAUGUGGGCCGGGUGGACGGAAUCCAGAUGCUAGUAAAUGAAACAUGGGAGAACAUGAGAGCCAUCCAGGUCAAGCAGGCAUAGCAGUCCGCCUUGAUGAAGGAGCUGAAUGGGAUGCUGCGACAGCUCCUUAGACGACACCCUCCACCGUCAGAUGGUGGUACAUCAGGACUCAUUUUCUCGCCACCUCAUCCUUUUUGAUCCAGAGAAGUACUGUUCACCCCAUUUUGAUUUUUCUUCUUCAUUUUGUCCUUAAAAUUAUGUUUUUAAUAUUUCGUUACUCUUACAUUGAGGACAAUAUAUUAACUAAGUUUGGGGGUGACAUAAUUUUAAAUCUUUAUCUGUGUUCAUCAGUAUCUGUAUUCCAUUAUUGCAUAAAGUAGGCAUGAUGAGUGUUAAAAAAAAUUCUUUGCAUUUUAUUUAGUUUGUUUUAAUUCUUUUCAUGCAUACUUGUGUGGGUUUGAUAGCCUUGCUAGCUAUGAUGUAAUUAUUGGACUUGUUUAAACUGCAAAACUUUGGAUCUGGUGUUAACUAGACUAACUGAUACUUGUUGAUGCAACACUUGACAUUAUCUAUGCACGCUAUUCAUACUUGACAUGUUAGGUGAGUGACUGGAUUUUGAGUAGAAAAUAGGAAAAGAACGAUAACUCUCUAUUGAAAUAACCCGUAAACUACCUUAAGACAGUUUGGUAAUGAUUGAGCUAUUAUAGGGUAGCAUUGAGAUAAGCAGGGGCUCCGUGCAUGAAUUUUAUUGUGUGGACUGCCUAGACCAGUGGGGGUGAAGAGUAGGUGAAAAUCUUAAAUUGGGGGUUGGUUUUAGAAACUAAAUGUCUAAAAAAAAACAAAAGGCAUAAAAUUAAUAUGUGAGAAUAAGACACUUCUUUUCAUACCUUUAUGACUCGAGCAAAUAAGCCUAUAAGGAUAUUUCAAAAUCUGGUGCCCUAAGGUCAAUUGGCCUGGGAGUCACCGGCUCAAAGCUCGAUACAUGGGUCAUAUAGAAAGCAAGAGAGAAAGAUGUUAAUAAAAGGUCAUCUAAUCAAGCCUUUAUAACUCGAGUGAAUAAACCUGCAAGGGUUGGUGUCCUAAAGCCAACUGGUUUGGGAGCCACCGGCCCAAAGCUCGUUAUAUGGGUUAUAUAGAAAGCAAAUGAGAAGAUGAUAAUAAUAAAAAAAUCAGAAAAAUCAGAGAAAAGUGAGAGAAACAAAAGAGAGACAAUAACAUGAAGAAAAGCCCUUGGACAUUUGGUUGAAAAAACUAUACUUUGAGACGAGGCAAGUAACCUAGUUUAAUCUUGAGUGUCGAAGCAAUCAAACUUAGGAGAGCUUUCACUUGUUAACAUGUAAACUUGUGAUAGUGAGAUUAAUCCAAACUACGAGAGGGUGAGAGCUACAGCUAAGUAAACUCCUAAUUUUAAAACACAACCCCGGGAAAAUUGAGUGAAAAGAAUAAGUUUGGGGGGUUGUGUAUCUCUCGAGCGAGUAAGGAUACAUUUGACCACUUGGGGUCAGGACUCAAACUCAUCAUGACCUGAUAUGUUGGCAUGAAUUCACACACACAUGUCAAAUAUGCAUUUAACAGGUAAAGGUUGAUGUCAUUUUUGCACUGAUAAAUUUUCAUAAAGUCAAAUACUUAGUCCAAUCCUGAGCCACAGCAGGGUAUUAAGCCAUGUUUGUUAAGAAUUAAGUCACUAUCUUGUUUGAUGACACACAAUAGUUCAAGUUUGGGGGGAUUUAAUAGGUGUGUUUUUGCACACUUAUUUAGGUCACAAACAUGACUUAAUUACGAGUAAAAUGAUUGAAUUGUGACUUAGUCUCGUUACAUUUGUGAAUUGUAGGGAACACCGAUGAACAUGGUGAAAUUCAGCAGAAAAGAUGUGAAAAAGGACUAAAAUGAUGCAAAGUGAAAGUUCAGGGACCAAGGUGAAAUUAUCCAAAAGUUGACCCGAUGAACAAAUCAAGAAAUUGAUUAAGCCAAAUACCAAUUGAUGAUAUCUUGGGAUGAUUAAAUGGAAAGAAUGAAGAAAAUAUGCCAAGAAGUGAAAGAUUUAAGUAGAGGGACCAAAUUGGAGAAAAUGAAAGUUAGAGUCUACCAUGCGUCCGCAUGGUAGAACUCUCAUGUGGUUGCACAAAUGUGUGCAGAAAAUUAUGGAGACAGCAUAGCAUAACCAUGCGGCCGCACGGAUUAAAGCCAUGCGGUCGCAUGGUAGGUUUCCGACGCGAAAAUUUUACUUUCCUUGUACGAUUAAAACUCUUUUGGUAACAAAAUUUUCACGCAAUAUAAAUACCAAAAGACAUCCAGAACGAAGGGGACGCUGAUUUUGCAAGAAAAAAGGGAGAUUUUGAAGGAGAAAACGAAGACAGAACAAGAGGAAAACAUUGCGCCAAUUGAAGAAUUGAUUGAAACUAAAUUCGGGUGAUGACGUUUCUUCAACUAUUUUGUAUUUUCUUCUUUUUAGUAUGUUAGGCUAGAUUUUUCGUGUACUAGGAGAUCGAUGAACCUUGUAAUACAAGUUUUGAUUUCUGAUUUGGAGAUUUGACAUAUUUAAACACAUGUUCCGAAAUUGAAUGAUUUAUACGUUUUUAUUUCCAUAUUAUUAUUGUGCACGUAAUUAUAUGAUUUUGGUGGCCUAUUUUAUGCAUUCGAGAGAAGAAAAAUAGGCUUGAUAUAGUAUAAAUCAUCAUAGGGUCCGAUAGAGGAUAGAAAUAUACCUCUAUGCCUCGUGUGAAUUGUUGAAUAUUCAUGAAAUCAUAAUGCAUUCCCGUAUGUUAGUAUUCCUUAUAGAGAUAUAGUCAAAUCACAUAUUGGGGUAGGUUUGACAUUACUGGAGAGAGAUUGCUUUAGUAUGGCUUCAAUUACCUCUUCUCCUUCAAUCAACUUGAAAGUCACUGACCUCUUUUCCUCGUCUAUGGCUUCAAUUACGUCUUCUGCUAUUUGCGGUUUCCCAUCUACAGUUAUUCAAAUUAUUGUAAACUUAAUACAAAAGAAAGUUUUGAAUCCAUAGUUUUCGAAUCUUGAUUGCACAUACGAUGUAACUUACAUGUGAAACUUGUUGAUUUGUCAUUGAAAACCUUGUUGGAAAAGUGUUUUUCAAAAAUCAAUAAACAUGUGUGGAAUGGAAUGAACAAAACAAAAUGGAAACCCAAAUUUUGAUCCAUGUGACCGCAUAGACCAUGGCCAUCACUCGAGAAUUUGGGGAUGGUCGCAAGGUAAACCAUGCGACUGCAUGGCUUUAAACCAUGCGGUCGCAUGGUACAUUUAAAGUGACUGUUGGAGACCAUUUUUAGUUAGUUUUUUGGUGGCUUUUAGAGGGAAUCUUGCAUCCCUUCAUGACUUUUGGCACCAAUUCGUGAGGUAUUGAUUGACUUCUAUAAAUAGGUGUUGAAGGAUCAAUACAUAUUAUUGAAAAAUUAUAUGAGAAACUGAAUUUACAUUCCACAAGAAAACAUUCUUUCUAUUUUCAUAUUCAAGCAAUUCCCUCUUGUGUUCUUCAAGCACAGGUAGAAAACCAUUUAUGCUUUAGUAUGUUUCUGCAACAAGGUUUGAUCAAUCUUACAGACUAUUUUUCGUAAAACCCUUGAAGCAUCUCGUAGAAUCUGGAGAGGGGGCAAAUAUCGUUCGAGGACAGCGAGAUUAUUUUCGUAUUUGAGCCUUUGUAUUGGUUUGAUCUUCUUGUUCAUCUUUUAUCUUCUCGAAUUACUAUUUUUUGGUUUCUUCUCCAACCCCAGUGUUGAUUAAUUUUCCAACAAUCUCGAACGAUAAUUUGUGAUGGAGAACGAAACCGCUUCGGCAAUGAUCAAGUUGAUGGAUCAAGAUCGUGUUCGUGUGGAUCGUUUGAUGGCACUAAUUGCACGGGAAGGUUCGACUUGAAGAAAGACAUGCUUUCACUCGAUAAUGGAAGAUAAUCAGUCCAGAUUUAUGGUUUGGGCUUCGUAAUAAUCAUUUUGCCUUAUCCAAAUUCAGUAAGUCAAAAUUGUGUUUCGAUAUCACGCAUACAUGGGAUUUAUGUUCUCGAAAAUUAUAAUGUGCAACCCAUAUGCUUGACAUUCUGGGAAUUUAUGCAGGUACAUAAAUUCGCAAAUUUAUAAUUGGUUUUAUGUACUCAUGAUUAUGGCAUAUGUUAUAUUGUAUGUUCUGGUUGCCUGAUGAAUUCGCAAAUUGUAAUAAUAAAAUUAAAGUUAACUUUUUCUCCAUAUCAUGAUGUGCAUUACAGAACUUUGUUUUCUUAAAUAUGAUAAGGCAUAGAAAUUUUCGUUUACAUCCAUGAAAAGGUGUGACCCUUUUGGAAUUGCAUGCACUUAUCUAUCUUCAUCUGUGAAAAGGCAUGAGUACUGCCAUACAUGUAAAGUGGUGUCGUAAAUUAAAUUAAAUGUGCUUUGAUAAUUUUAAUUCACAGACAAUGUUUCUGCAUUUAUUAUUUAAGGCAAAAGAUUUCUUAGCAGUUCAUAAAUUUCUGAAAUGAUGAUCAUGAAUUAUCUGUCGUGAUGUAUGAAACGGCAUGUGGUUAUCCGUCUUCAAAGGAAAUGGAAGGAAUUGAUUAAUUACUGUAAUCAAGCAUGAUCAAAGAUACAUAAUAUACGAACUCUUUGUUAGCAAUGUGUGAAAAGAAAGAGGAAAUGCAUGUGAUUAUUAUAAGUAUCUAUUUGAAAAAUGAUUUGUAAAGUCUGUUUGCACAGUUCUAUUUGCUGACUUUGAUAAUGCUUAUAUGUUCCAUUUAAAUUAUCUUCUCCAUUGAAUGUUUGUUUGGUCAAAUGGAGGAACUGCAAUGUGUGGGAAAUAUCUGAUAAGCAUUAUAUGGAUUGAUAUAAUUUAAUAAUUGUUGAAUAAUGGCACUAUGUAUGGCUGCCAACAUCUUCUCAUAAUUAGUCAAAAACAUGAAAGUGGCUGAUUUUUAGACAAAUACAUGUGGUCCAGUUUAUUAAAUUGUGACCUUUCAUUUUAAAUUAUAAACCAAUUGUGGAAACGGGAUCUAUUUGACAUGGAAAUAUUUGAUUUCUAAUGCAUAUACUGAUCUUUGCAUAAACCUGUUGAUAUUCCAUGAACAUACUUGAAAGUCAGAUUGCAUUUGUAUUUCCAAUCUAAUUGAAUUGGAGUAUGUACAGAAUUUAAAUUGGCAACUGUUGAAGUUUGAUUUCUUAAAUUUGGUACCGAAAUGAUGUGAUUCCAUUAAAGGCCAAGAUCCUGAAUUGUUGUUGCCAUGAAUGGUAUUAUACAUGAAAGUGGGUUCAUGGUUACGGGCACAUGAUAGGCUUGAUAACCGUAUGGUGAACUGGCCAAGUCAUCAAUUCCAUUUUAAUGAUGGCUGUCAUUUAAAUAGCGUCUUUUCAUGUUGCAUGCAUAAUGGAGAUUUAGUAAAUUCCAUUAUGCAAAUAAAUGAAAUUGCUUGGCAUGAAAUAGUUUCUGUUUGCAUUAUUUUGGUUGUCAGUUCCUUUGGGAUUGAAAGCCAUUAGAGAAUUGAAUUGUACCGUCUAUCAAAACCCGUUAAAUGGUGUGCAUUAAUGAGGUACCUGUUUGCACAAAAGUUAUGUAUAUGUAUAUUUGAAUUGAUGGUGCUCACUUGAGGAUGCUUGUUUUGGUGUCCAUCAUAUGGUUAAAUGUGCAAUAUUUUGAUAAGAAAUUAUUUUAAAGUGGAAAUUGCUUAUCCAAUUAUUGGGAAUGGUUCAUAUGCAAAAGAUAGUAGUAUUGAAAAAUGCCAACUAUUUGUUGAUUGACUUCAUGUCUUGACUAACUUGGGUUAAUGUCGAUAGACUCAUUUAAUCCUAUGGUAUUAAUGAGAUGAUUUUAUGCCAAUUAUAUUUGCAUAAAAGCAUGACAAGUUGUGAUUUGUUCUAGUGGAAAGUACUCACGAAAUUAUUAAGACAUGAAAAUAUUUUAUAAAGCACAAAUUGUGUCUAUAGUUGGCGGUGGUGCUAAAUAUCCUUUUCAUUCAAAUCUGGAAAAGCUUGAAUGUGGUGAUUUAGUUGGUUAAAUUUUCAUAUUUAGUAGAAUUGAUAGCUUCGACUAAUUUGCCUAAAUUAAUUCUAUGCAAUUAAGUGAGAUUGCAAAUGAGUACGACAAAAUGUGAUUUUGUCCAAAUAUGAAUAAGGUGAAUAUGUAACUUAUCAUUUGAGGUGAUAUGAUGCUAUCUUGUGAAGUUCAUGAAAGUGAUAAAUUGCAAAUGAUUGGAGAUUAAUACUCUUAGUCUCACUCGUUGUUGAAUUGGACUUUAAUCACGGAACCAAUUGAGUUGGUUUGUGCUUGAAAAGCAUUAACAGUCUACGAGAUGGCCAUGAUCAAAUUGUAUGAUCAAAUCAAACAUAAUAGAAUGAAGCACAUUGACUUAACAAUCAUUAUCUGAAAUACUUAAACUUUCACAGGUAUUAUCAAAGUGAUAAAUGAAUUGAACUAUGAAAAGAGUUUAUGAACUCUAAGUUCAAGUAUAAUUUCAAUGUGGGGGCUGUUAUGUUGAUAAGCUCUAAAAUAACCCAAAAUAUGGGGGUUUAUAUUAAAUGCUAGUGAACUUAUAUGAGAAAUUAAAAAAUUUGCGAAUACAAUACUAAUAUAUUGCAUAAGAAUUCUAAUUGAAGAAUUGUGGGGGUAACUUAAUAUAAAAGUUAAAGUUCCUUAAACCUUUUAAUCAUAGACAGACAUCUAUAAAAGGAGAAAGGUUGAGAAGCCUUUAUACAUAUAAUUAUAAGGAUGUGAUACGCUGAGUCUAAGUGGAAGAAUUGGGUAAAAGCCGGUCAUGGCGCUUACAAAACCAAUGAAAUAUUUAAAAAACAUUCAUUGAAGAUCAUUGUAAUAUUUCAAUGAUGAAAAUGGAAUACCCAAGUACGAAAUCCACAAAAUUUUUAAAGUGAUUGAUUAGUGUAAUGGUUGAUAAAAAUCUUCCAACCUUGUUUUGGAAAAUAUAUAAAGCUUUAAAUAUAGCAAGUGAGAAGUUUGUGGCUUCAUAAAAAGAGAAUUCUUGGUGAUGACAAGUUGUACCUAUCAAAUGAAUCGAUCGUUGGCUAGCUAUAAUUUGACAAGAUACUAAGUCACACUAAAUGAAAUGUAAAGACGUAUAAGCCUUAGAGGUGACGUCACUAUGAAAUUAUUAUAUAUAGAAUAAUUUUCGAAGAGAAUUUUGCGGAUCCUUUAACUAGACUACUAAAUAAAAAUUUUUAGUAGCAUCUAAUCCGAGUAGAAUGGGGUUGAAACUCCUAAACUAAAAAUGUCCACCAAUGAUGGCAACCCUACCUAUCAUUUCUCAAAAGGUAAUAUAUGGGUUCAAAGGGUAACAACAAAUGUGGAUGAUUGCAGCAUUAUUAAAAUCCGCGAUAACCCUAUCCUAAUUAAAAUAAUGCUGGUUUUUAUUGAAGUGAGGGUUGAGCAUUAAAGCUCUUAAUGAAGUUCAGUACUAAAACACAAGUACCUCUAAAAGUAACAAAAGUACUAGAAGAACUUUACCUAAGCAAACUUUUAGGUGCUACCGCCUCAAUUGAGAGUUGCAGUUUCUCUCUUAAAAGUUUGUUGAAUAUGAUGAGCGUAAGGUUAUAAUAGCACUAAGUGAGUUAUGAGGAACUUGAGAACACGUGGUACUUGUGUGUGUGUUCGAACCGAUAUUGUCACUUGGAACAAUUGGUUCAAAACUUCAUGCUACCUUUUGAUUCUGACUUUACUUUGAUUGGAUUGCACUAUGAUUAGAGUCAAAUCGAAAGAUAUUUAAACCUUACGCAUGAGUAUUGUAUACUUUGAAUAUGAGAAUUUAUUAAAAUUUUGAACAAGUGGGGGAUUGUUGGAAAUAUAUUGUUCAAAAAUCAAUAAACAUGUGUAGAAUGGAAUGAACAAAACAAAAUGGAGACCCAAAUUUUGGUCCAUCCGACCACAUAGACCAUUUGGCCAUACGGUCGCAUGGCCAUCACCCGAGAAUUUGGGGAUGGUCGCAGGGUACAUUUAAAGUGACCGUUGGAGGCCAUUUUUAGUUAGUUUUUUGGUGGCUUUUAGAGGGAAUCUUGCAUCUCUUCAUGACUUUUGGCACCAAUUCGUGAGGUAUUGAUUGACAUCUAUAAAUAGGUGUUGAAGGAUCAAUACAUAUUAUUGAAAAAUCAUAUGAGAAAUUGAUUUUACAUUCCACAAGAAAACAUUCUUUCUAUUUCUAUAUUCAAGCAAUUCCCUCUUGUGUUCUUCAAGUUCGGGUAGAAAACUAUUUAUGCUUUAGUGUUUUUCUGCAACAAGGCUUGAUCAAUCCUACGAACCAUUUGCCGUAUAACCCUUGAAGCAUCUCGUAGAAUCCGAAGAUGGGGCAAAUAUCGUUCGAAGACAGCGAGAUUAUUUUCGUGUUUGAGCCUUCAUAUUGGUUUGAUCUUCUUGUUCAUCUUUCAUUUUCUCGAAUUACUAUUUUUUGGUUUCUUCUCUAACCCCGGUAUUAUUUUCAACAAACCUUUAUUCUAUUAUUUUCACCACAUAAGUGCUUUGCUAAACAAAUAUUAUUUAGGAAAUAAUUGGUUCAAAUUGAGACAAAUACCAGCCUAUAUUGUCUUUCACAACAUGAUCCAGAUAUGAGUUUUACUUUUAAUGUUCAAUAUAAUAUUGGGAAAAAAAUCUUAAAUUUAAGUUUCAUGGCACUAAAAAUGACCCAGAUGUCAACCUUCGAUGAGAAAAAAAUAUGACAAUAUUUAUCCGUACAGUAGAAAAAAGAGGGUUGAGUGACUCAUUUUUCUUUUGUUUCUGGAGUUAUAUGUGCGAUAAUUAUUAUUAUUUAACACUGUAUGCUUACUAUGAGUGUACUUCUAGGUGUAGACAGAGCCUACAGAUCUCCAUUCUCCUUGAUGCAAAUCACAUCCUUGAAUAGUAGUAGGGCUGAUUUUGGGUAUUUGGUGUGGUGUGUACCUAAAAAGAUCAUGAAAUACAUCUCCUCCAGCCCUCAUUUCUAUUUGGGCAGUGAGUUUACCCUUAAGACCCAUUUUUUCAUUCGUGAAAAGCUUAAUGAACGUUUUGGGAAGAACAAGUUCAAGUACUGUGUGAAUAGCAUUCAGAACUCUCUAAUCUAUUUAUAACUGUGUUGUGAAGAUGUAGAUCUGUGCACGUUGCCAUUGUUCAAUUAUUAUCUAUAACUGCGAUUUUUACAAUUUUACAAUGGUCAAUCAUUAUGUGUUAUCAAUGAAAAAUAAAAUAAGUUUCACAGAAUAAGAAAAAGCACUGUUUAAUAUCAUGUCAAGAUUAAGAUGAGGAUCAACAUAUAUGCAAUCCUUUAUACUAAAGAUACAACUUUUUGAGCUUAUUAAAUGAAAUUUCAUAUCUAAGCUCAACUACUCAACUGCAGUAUAUUGACUUCUUUUAUGGUUGGAAGCCAGCACCGUGUCAUAGGAACUCUUCACGAAUUUCUAGUUAUUGAGAAGAUACUUAGUCCGUACAUCAUUGACUCUAGGAAGAAAUUUAUAGUCCCUUUUGGACUUUGAUCACGAUUAGAAAGAGAGAGUAAAUGGCAACUAGAAUUAAUAUUUUUGUGUUGCUAAAAUCUAGAAUUUCAAAAGAAAGUAUAGCAAAAAUAAAAUUUUAAACAUUAUUGUGAUCAUGCUGUAAUAGAUAAAAACAACAAUCGUAAAUACAAACUAACAAGUAGACGUGAUGAAAGGUGAAAAUCAAAUAAUCCAUGUUGUGCACUCUUAAAUAAACUCUUUUUCAUGAAAGUGAUAUUAUUCUAGUUAAAUGAGUGAAAUAAAAAAGAGUCGCUUAAACUUAAAGGAAAGAGCAAUCUAAGUUUAUUAUUUUUUAACUAGAUAAUAUUCAUUUAAAAAGUAGAUUACAUUAUGAUUAAAAAAAUGAAAAAAAAAAAAAAGUAGGUUACAAUAUGGCAAUCAAAAGAUAGUUUCGUACACACCGUCGCAUAUCCUCCUAAUUAUUAUCCAUUUAAAGAAUUCACUUGAAUGUAAUUUAGGUCUUAAUAUUUAAUAGUAGGCAAAGACUAAACUACUCUCAACUAUCUGCAUUACUUUCUAUUAAUUAAAACAAUUAUUUAGAAAGUAGAUUAUGAUAUAUAUCAACCGAAAUUUCGUACACACAGUAGCUCAAAUAUCAUCAAUCAAUUACUAUAUAUCUCCAAAUAAUUCAUGUGAAUGUAAUUUAGUUCUUAAUAGCUAUUAACAAUAAAAGUUCACCUUGUGGAAAUUGGAAAUGUUGUUGGAUCAUCAUAAUGAUCAAUUAAUUAAUAUAUAAAUAAUCUACAAUUUAAGAGGAAGGAUUGAGGAGAAAUUUUUGAGUGACAAAAUACCCUCAUUGGUUUUGUAUAAUCCUCUUUAUCCUUCAAUUAUUAUUAGAAUUUAAAUAACUUUAUAACAUAUACUAUUCAAUAUUAUUGAAAUUACAAUCAUUACUUUCAUUUCCCUUUCAUUUAGAAAAUUGAUUGUUUUUAAAGCACGGUAAGUUGAUGUGUUUCAUCUUCCAUAAUUUAUUCAAAGCAUAUCCAGACGAUUAAACAAAAGCACCAGAUUUAUUUCUUUUUAGCUCUAUUUUUGCAUAAUUUCUACAAAAUAUAAAUCAACCCUUAAAUUUUUUAUUUUUUUAUUUUUUUUGAUUUCAACAAAUAGAAUAUACGGAGUCUAACAAUGUUUGACCAUUAGUAUUUUAUGUUUGUAGAGUUUUGAUAGUGGACAAUUCUCAUGAGAAAGGUAUCAUAUUGUCCAAGUUUAUUUGAUUCCAAAUUUAGAUUUUCAACUUUUUCAUAAAUGUUUAAACAAUUUUCUUGGCUCGAUAAAAGAUAGUAGAGGCAUAUAUAUAAUCAAAAUCCAAAAAUCUUUCAACUUGUAUAUUAUUUUGAUAGUAAUCUAUAAAUUGCAUUGAAGUUGUUCUUAUGACAUCGACUACACUAGCGUUGGCGUAAUUCAUAAACCGAUACUUUUUUGCGUUAAUUAAUUAGGGUACGCCUCAAACAUGAACACAUGUUCACAAUAAAUGUCACAAAAAUAACAUUAUUGUUUCAUCAUUGUGAAAUGGACGGAAUUGUAGGUGUCAGAUAUUCCAUCAAAAUGAACGUAUCUCACUCCACCAUUUUAAUAAAAUAUUCAAAUUUUACUAUUCAACAUUUUUAUUUCAAAUAAUACUGCAAUAUUAAAGUAAAAAUAAAAUCUAAAAAAUAACCUCACUCCAAAUAAUUAACAUCAAAUUAGAUGGCGUCAAUUUCUCAACCAAACCGUCCAUAUCAUAGACCCACAAUUAUUGCUACCAAUCCCUAAUUCUCUGGUCAUUCAAUCACCUACAAAAUUUCUCUGGUCAUUCAAUCACCUACAAAAUUGCGUUCGACAAAUUUAUGCACUCUGUCUCCCAAGUUUCCGUAAUUCGGUCCCCGUCAUCCAUGAAGAAAGAAUUGUUGGUGAAGAAUGCACCCUCCAAGGGAGGAGGAGGAGUAGCCUAAUGAGGUGGAAUGAUGAAGUGCGUAAAGAAUUAAAGUUUAUGAUGAAAUGGAACCGUCACAAAACAAAAUAAUGUUUUUUUGAUUUCAUGAUAACUUCGGGUUGAUUCGAUUUUGGUGAAUUGUUAGUCUAAUUCGAUCGGAAUCGAGCCAAUGAAUAAAACUCAGCGCCUUUAGCCUUGACGCAAGGCCAAUUUUGGGCAAAAUCCAUCGUUUAGGCGUUUUUACUAUUUAUAAUAAUUUUUGUUUUUGCAAUAUCUUUUUUCAUAAAAUUCAAAUUUAUAUUCCGUUUGUUGGAGGAUGAUCCUGAUGAUAAGGAUUUUUCAUCUUAGUAGUUAUCUCAUAUUUUUCUGUUUUUGGAAAAAUAUAUUUUUAUUCUAUUUUUCGAAUUUUGCUAGAUUUUUUUAUAUUUAUGGCAUUGUAAGCCCUUUGAGGCGACAGUUCUUGAAUUCAAUAAAAUUUUCUUUGAGAGUUUUCUCAUUUUGUGAUUGUUAAUCUUCCCUAUAAUAUUCCGCUACAUCAUGAAAGCAGUCCAAGAAACACCACCAUCACCACGACCAAAAGAAGUUUCCAUCUAGGAAUCCCCUUUUUGGCAGAUGAAAUAAGCGAUGUAAUUCUCCUCAAUUUCCUCAAGAGUCAGAAAUUUCAAGGUCAAAGAAGCUAUGUCGAUUCUAAAAAGUGUUGUGGCUUGGACAAAAGAAUUCAUGUUGAUGAACUCUUGGAAGAAGAAACAUAUCGUGUGUUGUAAUACUACAGUCAUGUGAUUUCUUACCAUUAUGUUGUUUGUUCGAUGUAGGGAUCAAUGAUGACAAUCCCACGGCAACAAGUUAAGGAGUUGUGUUUAAAGGCAGUUAGUACAAUUCAAGUUGUGUAUCCUAAUGGAAGUCUAGCAUUGAAUUCUGAAGUAAAGGAAAAGGACAUGUUCUUUAUCUUAUGUUAUUUCCCAUUAUGCCAAAAUGCACCACAAACUAGCCAUUUUGAGUUCUUUGGCUUUUCCACGUCACCCUGCGAUAACAAGCCUCAAUUCUUUUUGGAGCAAACUCUAUUUCGCAAAUACUAAGAGGGACAGAACUUACAAAAGCUUUGGGACUGAGCGAUGAGAGGAUAAAGGAUAUCAUUGACUUUCAGUCGAAGUCUACAAUCUUUCCAUCAGCCACUGUUGCACCACCCGAGGUGAUUGUGGAGUGUAGGUGGAAGUGGGAAAGCCAUGUAUAUUUGAAUUCUCUCAUUUUCGAGAUAGUACUUGCACAUAAAUGAAUAACAUGUAUCAUCCAGAGUGCAAUAUCAAACUCGAGAGGGAAUGUAUCUCUUUUUAUUAAUGGUGAUUGUUCUAAUGAUAAGGAAUAUUUUCAUCAUUAUAAAGAUUACUGUGAGAAAUGGAGAGGAAGCAGGGCACUUAGGUUCCCCGAUACUGAAUUUCAGUAGCAACAUGGCGCCUAGACGCCUCGGAUUCAGCUAUAUAUAUCUGAUUUUUCCCCCUUCAAAGAUAGACCCAAUUUUUAGAGAGAAAAGAGAGAGAGCUUGGAUUGAAUUUAACAAGUAAGAGGUUGUUCUUCUUGAGUAUAAAUUCAAAGCUAUUUUUCUUUAAUGGGGAUUAACUUGAGGCUUGUUCAAGUAAUCCAAAUCCAUUGUUCAUCAUAUAUAUUGAAAAUCAUUUCUUCCCCAAUUUCUUAUCUUUCAAGUGGUUUGGGAUUUUUCACAUUGCAAUCUUAGGAGUGUCAUUUUCCCAACAAUUUGGUAUCAGAGUAUCUUCUUAAAUUAGGGUGGUUAAGUUCAAAUUUUUGGUGGGUUGGCUUGAACUUUGUUGUGCACACAAGGUGUUUGUGAAAAUUCCCAAGUGAACUUUGUUAGUUUAUUUCCGGUAAACAACUAGAUAAAUCAUGUCUACUAGAGGAACGGUGAAGAUUGAGAAGUAUGAGAUAGAGAAAUUCAAUGGGAAGAAUGAUUUCUCAUAUUGGAGAAUGCAAAUGAAAAAUUUGUUAAUUUAUCAAAAGUUGCACAAGGCAUUGGCAGGAAAGGAGAAGAAGCACAUAGAUAUGUCUGACGAGGAUUGGGAAGAGCUAGAUCUUGAGGCACGAGCGUCUAUCAUUCUAUGCCUUGAAAGAGAUGUUGCUUUCUUGGUUGAUGGUGAGGAAACGGCGGCAGAGGUGUGGACAAAGUUGGAGGCGAACUUCAUGACGAAGACUCUAACAAAUCGGAUCUACUUGAAGUCCAAAUUGUAUACUUGCAAGAUGGAUGAAGGUACACCAAUCCGAGAGUACGUCAACAAGUUUGAUAGGUGUAUAUCGGGCUUGAAGGAUAUUGAUGUGAAAGUUGAUGAUGAGGAUCAAGCACUUCUACUAUGUCUUUCAUUGCUAAAGUCUUACGAGAACCUAGUACAAACAUUGAUGCUUGUGGGUGAUAAACUUGUGAUGGAGGACACUAGAACGUCACUUCUAGUGGAUGAUUUUCGAAAGAUUGCAACUAGUGGCAUGUCUACCAUUGGUAACAAGGAGCAAGCUCAAGGAUUGUUUGUAAGAGGAAGAAACAAUGUACGACCAAAAGGCAAGGGAGAAAAAUCUAGAUCGAGUUCUAGACCUCUUGCGGAAAGGCCUUGUUUCAAAUAUGGCGAGCUUGGGCAUUUCAAGGCGAAUUAUACAAAUAAAAGGAGUCGGAAGAAGAACAAUAAGAACAACAACAACGAAAAGGUGCAAGUCAAGCAAGAGGUUAGCUAUGCCUCGGAAAGAGGGGAGAAGCGAUGAGUGCUACACCAUCUCUUGUGAUGAAGAAAUCUCCGGUAAGUGGAUUCUUGACUCUGGAUGCUCUUACCAUAUGUGUCCAAAUAGGAAGUGGUUUACUACCUAUAAAAGCACUGAUGGUGGAACCGUGUUGAUGGGUAAUAACCAUUCCUGUAAAACGGUGGGACUCGGUUAAAUUAGAAUCAAGAUGUUUGAUGGAGUGGUUAGAACAUUGAUGGAUGUUAGACAUGUUCCUGAUUUACGGAAGAACCUUAUCUCUGUUGGUGCUUUAGACUCCGGUGGUUGCAAGAUUGUAACAUGAAAUGGAGUAAAGAAGGUUGUUCGUGGUUCUUUGAUUGUGAUGAAGGGUAUUCGUGAAGGCAAUCUCUAUGCUCUUCAGGGUACUACAGUUACAGAAGAUGUAGCGGUUGAAACAAGUGGAAGUGGUGGAGACCCAUGUGAGUGCACUCGGCUAUGGCAUAGGAGGCCUGGGCAUAUGUCUGAAAAGGGGCUAUAUCUGCUAGUCAAGAAAGGUUUGCUAAAGAACUUGAAGAAGCCUUGCAUGGAUUUUUGCGAGCAUUGCGUGUACGGUAAAGCACACUGAGUUCAGUUCCAGCCAAGCAAACAUAGAAGCAGAGGUAUUCUAGACUAUGUGCACACGGAUGUAUGGGGUCCGGCUUCUGUCACUUCCAAAGGAGGUUCCAGGUAUUUUGUUACAUUUGUUGAUGAUUAUUCUAGAUAUGCUUGGAUUUAUUUUUUGAAGCAUAAGAAUGAGGUAUUCGAUACUUUCAAGAAGUGGAAAGCAAUGGUUGAAAACAGAACAUGAAAGAAAUUGAAGACACUGCGAUCUGAUAACGAUACUGAGUAUACAGAUGGUGCUUUCAAGGAGUUCUGUGGUAAGUAAGGCAUUGCAAGACACUGGACAAUUAGAAAUAUACCACAACAGAAUGGGGUCGCGGAAAGACUGAAUCGCACAUUUCGAGAGAAAUCGAUGUUUAUGUGAUCCUAUGUUAGUUUGGGCAGAGAAUGGUGGGCAGAGUCGGUUGUAAAUGCUUGCUACAUAGUGAACCGGUCUCCACAUUCAAGGUUAGAUGGAGAUGUACCUUACAGGGUAUUGACAGGAGAACAUGCAGAUUAUGAGAAACUCAGAAUAUUCGGAUGCACAGCCUACUAUCACGUCAACGAGGGAAAGCUUGAUGCGAGGGCCAAGAAGGCUAUAUUCUUGGGGUAUGCGGCAGGUGUNNNNNNNNNNNNNNNNNNNNNNNNNNNNNNNNNNNNNNNNNNNNNNNNNNNNNNNNNNNNNNNNNNNNNNNNNNNNNNNNNNNNNNNNNNNNNNNNNNNNNNNNNNNNNNNNNNNNNNNNNNNNNNNNNNNNNNNNNNNNNNNNNNNNNNNNNNNNNNNNNNNNNNNNNNNNNNNNNNNNNNNNNNNNNNNNNNNNNNNNNNNNNNNNNNNNNNNNNNNNNNNNNNNNNNNNNNNNNNNNNNNNNNNNNNNNNNNNNNNNNNNNNNNNNNNNNNNNNNNNNNNNNNNNNNNNNNNNNNNNNNNNNNNNNNNNNNNNNNNNNNNNNNNNNNNNNNNNNNNNNNNNNNNNNNNNNNNNNNNNNNNNNNNNNNNNNNNNNNNNNNNNNNNNNNNNNNNNNNNNNNNNNNNNNNNNNNNNNNNNNNNNNNNNNNNNNNNNNNNNNNNNNNNNNNNNNNNNNNNNNNNNNNNNNNNNNNNNNNNNNNNNNNNNNNNNNNNNNNNNNNNNNNNNNNNNNNNNNNNNNNNNNNNNNNNNNNNNNNNNNNNNNNNNNNNNNNNNNNNNNNNNNNNNNNNNNNNNNNNNNNNNNNNNNNNNNNNNNNNNNNAGGAUAAGGAACGUCAGGUAUGUCGCUUGAGAAAAUCACUAUAUGGAUUGAAGCAAUCUCCUCGGCAGUGGUACAAGCGAUUUGACUCCUUCAUGCUAAAGCAUGGUUUCUCCAGAAGUGAGUAUGACUGUUGUGUUUAUAUUCGAAAACUUCGGGGAGGUAACUAUAUCUAUCUUCUUUUGUAUGUGGAUGACAUGCUUAUCGCUUCGAAAAGCAAGGUGGAGAUAGAUAGGUUGAAAUCUCAACUUGGUAAAGAGUUUGAGAUGAAGGAUAUGGGGGCUGCUAGGAAAAUACUGGGUAUGGAGAUUAGAAGAGAGAGGACGAACCGGCGAAUGUUCUUGAGUCAGAAAGGCUACAUUGAGCGGGUUAUUGCUAGGUUCGGGUUGCAAGGUGCAAAGUCGGUGGUGACUCCAUUGGCUCCACAUUUCAGGCUCUCUGGUAAACAAUCUCCUACUACAGCGGAAGAAAAGGUACGCAUGGAUCAUGUACCUUAUGCUAGUGCAGUUGGUAGUUUGAUGUAUGCCAUGAUGUGUACACGCCCAGAUAUUUCACAAGCGAUUAGUGUAGUCAGUAGAUUCAUGGCGAAUCCGGGGAAGGCACACUGGGAAGCUGUGAAGUGGAUCCUGAGGUACUUAAAAGGUACCGCGGAUACGGGUUUAUGUUUUGGUGGAGAUGCAUGUCAUAUAAGUGGGUUUGUGGACUCGGAUUAUGCAGGUGAUCUAGAUAGACGACGAUCUACUGCUGGAUAUGUGUUUUGCAUACAUGGUGCCCCAGUUAGUUGGCGAUCGAUGUUACAGGCUACAGUGGCUCUUUCUACUACAGAGGCCGAGUAUAUGGCCAUGGCAGAGGGAGUGAAGGAAGCAUUGUGGUUGUGGGGUCUUCUAGAUGAUUUGGGGAUUGAGCAGGAUUGUGUGGACUUGUGGUGUGAUAGUCAGAGUGCAAUUCAUUUGGCUAAGAAUCAGGUUCAUCAUGCUCGAACCAAGCAUAUCGACGUCGGGUAUCAUUUUGUUUUUUAUGUCAUAGAGGAAGGUGAUAUUUCUCUCUUGAAAGUACACACAAAUGAGAACCCAGCAGACAUGUUAACCAAAGUGGUAACGGGCAGCAAGUUUCAGCAUUGCUUGGACUUGCUUCACAUUAGUCCGUGUUGAUAUGCCCGAGUGGGCAUGGCCCUUCGGGGCGGGGUUGAAAUGAGGUGAAGAGUAUAUGAAGGUGGAGAUGAACUACGGAGGCUUGAUCCCGAGUUUUGGGUACGUAGCCAACCAUAGUUUGAAUGGUGCAGCCGAGUUUGGCGCUUGCUACUUCUUCUUGUGUUCGUCCAAAAUUUGAGAUCUAUCAAAUGAUGUAUGAGGUGGAGAAUUGUGAGAAAUGGAGAGGAAGCAAGGUGCCUAGGCCCCAUGAGUGGGCGCCUAGGCGCUGGCCGGUGAAAAAUGAGGCAGAAACUUGGCGCCUAGGCGCCCCGGAUUCAGCUAUGUAUAUCUAAUUUUUCCCCCUUCAAAGAUAGACCCGAUUUUUAGAGAGAAAAGAGAGAGAGUUUGGAUUGAAUUUAACAAGUAAGAGGUUGUUCUUCUUGGGUAUAAAUUUAAAGCUAUUUUUCUUUAUUGGGGGAUUAACUUGAGGCUUGUUUAAGUAAUCCAAAUCCAUUGUUCAUCAUAUAUAUUGAAAAUCAUUUCUUCCCCAAUUUCUUAUCUUUCAAGUGGUUUGGAAUUUUUCACAUUGCAAGUUAUCUUUCUUGGGCAAUCUUGGGAGUGUCAUUUUCCCAACAAUUACAAAAAGUUAGAUAUAACUAGUUAGAUUCUCGUGAUUUUUUUUAUCAUACUUCAUUGGGAACAAUCAACUUAUGGCCUUUUCUACAUCCAUUUCUUUGUUUCUUUUGAUUUUCAAAAUCAUGUUCGAAGAGUUGUCUUUGAGAAUGUCUUUUUGUUUACUAUUUUCUAUUUGGGAUUACAAUUUGUGUUGUUUUCGAACAUUUGAUUUUCAGUUUGAAUGCAUAUAUUCUUAUUGGAAUUAGGUUCAACAGUCUAGAAAAUGUUUUGUCUCGAAAAACGUUCGGCUAAAAGCAUUUUAAGCCAAAAAUCAAGAGCUAAAAGCUCAUCUUACACAAAAUCCUAAACAAGAAAGGCAACAAGAUACAGCUUUUACCAUAGUCCAUUGAGCAACUAGGUACAAAGUCAACAUUGCUCCAAAUUCCAAUGCCUUACUGUCUCACAAAAGAGUGCGGUAAAAUGUGAUAAAAAGCUUAUCCAUAAACAAUAAAUCAAAAUUGUAGAAGAUGUUCGAUAAAACAUAAUUUAACACGUAGUGCAUAAGCGGAGAAACAUGGAUCCUUCCUCUUUAGUUCUAUGUAGAAAAGGAGCGACGUGUCAUUUGUAAUCCUAACCAGGGACAGGUUUCCGUCUACUUCAUAUUCGAUUUUCAAGUGACCAGUUCCGCAAUCAAUCUUCAUCUCAAUGUAUAUAAUAUCAACUAGCUCCACCUACUUGAAUCCACUAGGUACAAGCAGUCCAAAUGUACUUGAUUUGAACAUUAUGAACAUGUUCACAUAGUCAUCAACUACAUCAAGAAAAAAAUGGAAUACAUAUCACCAUUUGAAUGGAACACGGGUAAAUAGCUCCAUAAAAAAACAACUAUUUAUGUUUUAUCAUAGUCACGUGUAUCACACACAGGUCAUGGUGUUAUAUGAGGGGAAGAUUAAGCAUCAGGAAAUAAAACAAAGUCAAUGAUUGAUUUAUUUAUUUAUUUUUAUUUUAAUUUAAUUUAAUUUUAUUUUAUUAUCAUUAUUAUUAUUUUUUUGCAUUUCAGAAUAUAGUUAACCAACAUAUUAACUAAUAGAUUUCGAUAAAUUGGAUCAGAUUUUGCUUUUUUCUUUAAUCGCUUGUAAAUCAAUAUAUCACAUAACCAUAUCGAACAAGCGGUGACCGAUCUAAUUUUCCAGUCAUGAAGCUACUAAAUUAUUCAGAGAUGAACAACAUCAACUAUAUUACAUUGAUUGGUUAAUACAUUCAUAAAUGAGUUGUGGCAUUGUCAUACAAAUUCUACACCUAUUUCUGCAUGCGACAAAGUGGGAAUCUAUACAUAACAGAACUUACAUGCAUAUAUUAGUUAAAUUUCAAAUGGUCCAUAUCAGUAAAAUUACAGCAAUUAGUGAAACAGACAACGAAAAUUAUGUCACUGGACAAAAAUCACUUUCAAUUUCAAAAGACCCCUCUCCCAAAAAAAAAAGAAGAAGAUGGAUUUCACAAACUGGAAGAUAUUCCACUAAAUCAGUAUUCAGAUGACAAACACGAUGAAGAUCUUACUGUAGCCAAUCAUCCGCAAUCACCUCCCUCAUGAAAUCAAGCUGCUCCUAGAAGUUAAUUUGCUCCUCUAACAUCAUUGUCACGAUAUGCACACUUGAAAGAUGAUAUUUGCAACCUAAGCCCAAAAGUUGGUGUCAGUUGCUGGAGCUUAUGAUGAUGAUAAAAAUGAUACGAUGAGAUCACAAACCACAAGUCCAACUCUCGAUCAACUAGUUUGAUUCUAAUUAAAUGAGAUUACAUUAUUUGGAAAGAAUCUUAUCCAAAUUGGGCUUAAUCGAGUCAUACGGAAAGAAAAACUAUACUUUCCUAUUCCACCAUGUGUGUUCUAAUCAAACAAUGGCUCCUUUUUAUAUAAAUAUGACCGUCAUCCCUUCAUUGAAGGUGCAGGACUAUUAUUUUACUGAUUACAUAGGUAUAUUACUUCUAAUAAUGACUUAGCCAUCUAAUCGACUAUGUGGUCAACAAUCUACGCCUUUAUUUCAUGUAAUCAGAGACUUAAGGAAACAUUUCAUUGAUGCCAGAUGGUUGAACCUGUCCCAAUCCAUGAUCGAUAUCAGAUGGUACAAAUUUUUUUACAUCAAAUAAUAUUAUUAGACAAAAUAAAAUAAAAAAGAUAUAUAUAACAAUUUUCUAGUGUCAUGUCAAGUUUUAUCUUCUCCCGAAUGCUAAAUACUCUAUGAGACUUUAUUUAAAGAUUGAAUUUUAAAUGAUGAUUUUUUUUCUCUCUCUCUAAUUUUAUAGAUUCUAAAUGGGCAUGUAACCUAUUAUAGAAGAUUAUUUUCUAAUUAAAUAAAAUGUAUAAUACGUUUAGCAACUAUGGAAGUUUUCUUAGCACAUGGACAUGUAAGCUUUGUACAACCCAUUUGUUAAGCAUAAUUAAAUGAAGUUCACACAAGGAUUAUGUUUUGUUGGACCAUUUUAACUGAAAUGAAUUUCUUCAAUUUUUUUUUUCUUUUUUCAUUAGUGCACUUAUGCCCUUUUCUCAUAUCAUUUUUAUCCUAAGUAUUUCAUUAAUUAGAACAUCAUUUCUUUUGAUGAUAGUUGUAGUCCAAAAGUUCGAUCAAUUAUUUUUUUUUCAUUUUAAAACUUGUUAAUAGAAUAUUUUGACAGAAACAAUCAUAAAAAAUAAAAUGUACUAAUUAAUUGAAGGUUAAUAAAAAGAAUGUGUAGGAAAAAAUCAAGAAAAUGAGUGCGACAAUGAUCAAAGGUUGAAAACCUUAAUUGUAAUUAAAAUAUUGUACAUGAAACAAAAACAGAGUGUAAAUAUAUAUAAUUACCCUUAAAUAAUUGGGUAAUGCUUUUCAUCGUUAGCGAUUAUAGUAGUUAUCUUAUGUGACAGAUUAUUAUUUGAGACAUUAACUAGUUAUUAAUUUGAGGUAACAUAAUUAUAGAAAAUUGACGUCUUAAACGACAAGUUGGCACAUAAAAUGACUACGGUAGUCGUUCAUUACAUUUAAAAUGAGUAUGGCAUGAUCACAUGAAUUAUGAAAUAGUGGAAAGUGCAAAUAUUCCCCAUCCUGUCUUCCAAAGUAAAAGUGCAUUUAUAUUAUACUCAUAAUUCUUCGAGGCUUUGUGGGUCAGAUGGAGACAUUAUAUCGACAGAUAAAGUUCGGGGGCUCAAUAAUUAAAUUAAAAUCAAACGUGACUGAAAGUUCGAAACCUUUAGCUAGAGAAAAUAUCCCUCCAAACUUUUAUUUAUGACUUUUAAGUCUUUAAUCUUUCGGAUUAAUUUUUAGAAAUUUAUUUAAAAAGCCAAACUUAAUUGAAAAUAUAACCAAAAAAAGAAAAAAAAAAAAAAAGGGAAAAAAAAAAGAGGGAAGGAAGAAGAAAGAAUGAAAAUCAAUGUAUAUUUUAUAGACAAAUAUAUCAUUAUUGUAUUUGACGGUGAAACUAAUUAUUAUUUAAAAGUUUUCAAAAUAUUUUAUUAAUGCAGUCGACUUUAAUUCUAUUCAAAAGAAAGUUCAGUCCUGUAUGAUUUAACUAAAAUUAAAUAUUUAGUAGAUUUAAAUAAAAAUUGAUGAGAUAUGUUGUUGAAGAAUUGAUAAAAAUUGUAGGUUCCAUGAAAUGCGUUAUUGAACAUGAAUUUGAGAAAAAAAUGAAUUUUAGAAAAAAAAAAUUAACAAUGAUUUAUUUAUUUAUGUUUGUUGUAUACCUUAAUGAUCUAAUCUAUAAUAUAAAUAGGAGAAACAGUGUUUAGUAGUAUUAAUUUUUCUUUUUUUGGCUGCUACUCCUAAUUCAGUACUGCAUUUUGAUGAAAAUCAAGUAUUGAUAAUAAAUAAUCCACAUAUAUUUCACAUAUCACAAAACCAGUUUUGCAUGUGUGAACUACAAGCAAUGGAUGUGGUAAUUGAGAAUCCUCACUUUUGGACAAUAUGGUCCAAACACAGAAUGGGUUUGAAUUAUUGAACGAAAUCCUCAACUCAACACAUAUCAAUGAAUCAAUCGGACAGCAAACAAAUUUUGUUUAAAUUGUACCAAUUCAUGUACUUAUAAAUAGUCGAAUAUAAUUAUUUAAUAAUUAUGUCUAGUAAAAAUUGACUUCAUUACUUAAAAAGUAAGACGUGUAGGGGUAACAUGUCUAUUUAAUAAUACAGAUAUAGAGUAAAGAAUUGGAUAUGAGAGUGCUACAAAGAAACGUAUUUAUUUACUUUAAUUAAGUGAUUAUCGCCAUCCAACAGUAUACCAUUUCCAUAAGUAGAAGAUAUUACUUACUAGUGGCUAUUAAAACUUCAUUCACGAGGGUUACAUAUAUAAUAGUGAAUAAUGCAUUAUUUUGUAGAAUUAAACUAAUCAAACAGGCUGGAUGACAGGACUUAUUUCCAGGGAUGAAUUGAAAACAUUUUGUUUUACUGUUUUUUGUUGCACGUAAAAUGUUGUUAAGCGUAUAUGUGUAAACAAACCAUUCAGUGAGGCUGUUCCUGUAACUAUCUUGCACUCUAUAAUAAUUGGCAGAGCAUAGUUGAGCUGGUGUGUACGAAAGCAUUCAUUGCAAUAUUGAAAUCUAAUUUCUAAACAAAUAUUUUGAGAAGUAACUUAUUGUUGUUUUGAGUUGUUGGAUUUAAAAGUGCAAGCCAACUAAUCCAAUAGACAGUGAUAAAAAAUAGAUUAUUAAUGUAGUCGACUUUAAUUUUUUAAGAAGAAGAAUAAUUUAUUUAUUUAUUCAUUUUUUUUAUUUGUCGUGAGAAAUUAUGUCAUAUUGGUAUUAAAUUUGAGAUAAAACUAACUUUGCUGUCUACUCAGCCUUAUUUAUCACUGCAUUUAGUUGAAAAUCCAGUUAUUUUAAUUUGAUUUAUUUUUUCCUCUCUUUUGAUUUGUUUAUAAACCAGAGUUAAUUUAAGGGUAUACAACACAUACAUAAUUUGAUACAUUUAGAAUUUAAUUAUAGUUCAAUAGAUGCCUAUAAUAACUACCCUCAACGUAAUCUAUUCCUUCAUUAUCUAGAACUAGAUCAAUUCACCCACUCAAAAAUGGAUAUAUCGAUACACGUAAGAGUACAUGUAGAAUACCAAAGGGAAUUAUUCGUGUUCAAACAAGUUUCAAUAAUACCAUUGUCACGGUUUUAGAUGUACGGGGUAAGGUGAUUUUUUGAUCUUCAACUGGUAUUUUUGGAGUUAAGCGUAUGAGAAGAUGGACACCAACUGGAGCCGCAAAUGCUAUUUGUACAGUAGUAGGUCCAGAAAUUCAACAAAUAGAAGUCCUGAUAAAAAAGUCCUGAUCUCGAAAACUUGGUUGACUUGUCACAGUGUACUUUUCUAUAACCGUUAUAAAUAAUGGACAAUUGUCGAACAUUGAGACAAGGCUCAAAAUAGUUGAUGUUACAGUAAUUGAUUGUUUGUUUGGAAACAUAAGUAAGUGGUAAUAAAGUUAUGUGUUGAUAAUUGCAAUUAAGGUCCCAAAAUUUUUAAAUCUUUACAAAUUUUACCCUCAUUUAUUGCAAUUACGAUCCCAAAUCUUUCAUCUAAUUGCUUCAGGAGGACUUUUAGUGAAAACCAUCACUUUUUUCGUUAGUUGACCAGAAAAAGGAAAACGAGGAUAAAAGAGAUAAGAUAAAUAAAAAAGGAGGAAAAAUAUUGAGCCAUAAUAACUUAUGGAAGAAAUCGAAUAAAUAUGAAACAUAUAUGUGUUUAAUGUUAGACUCCAACAAAAGGAUUCACUCUUUGUUUUUAAAUGUUUUUUGAGAGGCUUUUUAUUUGAAGAAACUCUUGGAAGGGGGAAGGUGUUGUCGUUAUCGUACAUCGAUUGUAAAAAGGAUUGAUGAUUAGAUUUUAAGUGCAAGAAAAAGUCUUACAUCUUGUGCUAGCUUUUGGAGUUGAAAAGGCUCAAGACUACCCAACACCGAUAUCAAUACUUAUGUUAUCAACAAGUCUCUGCCCAAGAAUUCAUGGGAGAUGUGAGUUUGUACCCACCUAGGGCCCGAUGUAUGUGGGGGAGAUUGUUGAAAUUAUCUCAUUUCUAUUGUGGAAAGGAUUGGUGGUCAAUUUAUAAGUGUGAGGGAAAGUCUUACAUCUUGAACUACCUUUUCGAGUUGAGAAGGCCAAAUAUCGCCUAACAGAAGGAAGGGGGUAUCCAUUUAGAUUUUUAUUGGUAUGUAUGAGCUCAAGAUAAUUUUUAUUUGUUUAUUUAUUUUUGUGUUCCCUAACUCCAUCCUUGCUAUUUUAGAAGAAGAGUUCAUUACAGUUUUCUCUUACGUCCGGGCAAUUGAGUUGGAUUUCGUUUCUACAAUACUCAUAGAUUGAGGAGUUCACUGAAAUUUUCUGACUCUGAGGUAGUUGAUUCCCUAUCUAAUGGUAUUUUAAUAAUAGAAAUUGCAAUUUAACUUGAUUAUUACAACCGCGCAAUGCGAGAAUACAAUUAUAUACUCCACAAGUAGAAGAUAAUACUGGCUAAUGGCUAUUGAGCACUAAAAUAAAUUAACGUGAGAUCUGUGCACAUAUAUAAUAAUUGGUUCAAGAUUAUUGAGUUGAUGUGCAUGAAAACAUAUAUUCACCGUCAUAUCGAAAUCUACUUCUAAAUAGCUCGCGAUUACUUUUAAGUUGUUCAAAUAACUUAUUUGCAAGACCAUCGUAUUUAUUAUUGUAUUUGAAAUUGCAAGGCAACUAAUUCAUUGAAACGUCCAAAAUGGAUUAUUAAUUUAGUCAACUUCGAUUCUAUCAUGAAGAAUAAAAGUUUAGAUUUAACAAAUUUAUUUUGACUCAAUGUACGAAAUUUUACAAUUAAAAGCAACAAGUUACUUUUUAAUUAUUUUUACAUGAUUAAUAAAUCACAUCAGAUUAUCAUAUGGCUUGAAUGCCAAAAUUAAUAAUAUGAAAGUCAUAAAUAACACAAAAUAUGUUGAUGGAGAAAAUCCAAUUGAGUAAAAAUUUCGGGACCAAACCAAUAACAUCUACUAUGGAUAAUGAACUUAUAGUAUGAUCCAGCCUGGAAAACCUACUAGACUUGCUGAUCUAAUUCCUACAAUCUCCAAAACUCAUUGAAACGUCUUCACUCAUACCUAUUCCUGAUCUUCUGGAAUUGUCUGUCUCUGGUGGAUCACCAAGAGCAUCUUGUUCUUGUACUCUUCCUGUACUUCUAAUCCAACCUCUCUCAAUCUUCAGCAAUCUCUGAAAGCUAUUGAGAAAAUACAUUCCUGUAUGUGUAUAGGAAGUUGGUGUCUUGGAUUAUACGAAUUUGAUGUUUUCCCAAAAUUGUGGUUGAAUGAUCUCAAGAAUCAAAGGCUUAAUCUCAAGGUUUGAAUGUAGUCUUGAAUAUUAUAAAUGUAAUAUGACAAAGUAAUAUAAUGAACAACCAUAUCUCAAAUCGUGUUAUGACUUGGGUAUCUAUAGUAGAAUGCAUAGGCCGGAUAGAACUCUUGAAAUACACAUAACAGCAUCGCUCAAGUGCUAGGCUAGCGACGGGCAAGCAAUCUGUGUGUCGCUAGAGUGAUAGGCUGUGUAAAUUUGGCGAUUCUUUCCUUCUUGUUCCAAACUUGAACCCAAAAAUACCUAAUUCAUCUAUACAACAUUCCAAUUGACUUCUUGACUUUUACAACUUUUUAUAUUAGUCCUUUUGUUUAAAGAAUUGUAAAUACAAUAAAAACCUAACAAAGAAGGUUUAAUAUAAUUUUGUUUUUGUGAGAAUAUGUCAGAUUGGUAUGAAAUUUGAGAUAGACAAAUUAAUCUUUCUUUUAGGCUAUCUAUCUCGUUAUUCACCACAUUUAGCCCUUGUUUGGUUUAGACUAAAAGAUAUUUAGUAGGUUUCGGGGAAUUUGUUUGUAAUGCGUCGUUAUAUUUGAUUAUUGACUUUUUAACUUGAAUUUUAAUCGACUUUUUUGUGGAAACAAAUGGAGGCUUAGUGAAAAACUAUGGAAUGAGAUUGUUACAAAAAAUUAUGUAAGUUUUCAAUUCAUUUUUCUUUCUUUUGACUUGAUUUACUAGAAUCGUAUUUGUAAACAAGACUUAUUUUAGGAUGCACAACACAUAUCUCCACAACAUGCAACAUUGGACCAAAAAUUAAUGGUUUCUGAAUUGAAUCAGUUCAUACCCCCACCAACACACAGGUUAUAAAAGGACAAAAUUAUGCAACAAACUGCACGAGAAAAUGCAUUUAUAGGGCCAAAUUGCCGUUCAUAUUGUAUAGAUCUGGUAGAUUUGUUGUAAUCUCAUAUCAUUUUUGUAUAUCACCUUCCUUUCAAUUCCCAUAAACAGAUUUCAACUGGGGCUCCCUUCUACGCAUAAAUGGCGGAUUCGCUGGGGAUGCUACAGGAGUAGCUUUUGAUCGUUUGAACGGAGUGUUAAACUACCAACAAGAAGGAGCAAAGACGCUUUAAAAAUGCAUACGAAACGCCAUUGCCAGAAAACUCAUAAAAUAUGGGCAGAUUCAUUGAUUGUCAAACUUUCUUAAAAUCUUUAACCUUUUGCUUUACAGUAAAAUUAAUUUUCACAACAAAAAAUGAACACAAGUUUGUGAUUAACUCAAGAAUAAAAACCACCAUUCUAGCCGACAUUAUAGAAAUUUUAAAAUCGGAAAAUACCCAUUACCUUUGUCUGCCAUUUUUCAAUAACUGCUUCCAAUAUCUGUCUGAAAUUUGUAGGCACUGCAAGUGGUGAAAUUUGGAGAAAAUGGGCCGUAUUUCGCUCGAAGAGGGUAAGAACCGUUAAAAAAUGAAAAGAGAAGUCCAUGUAUGCUUCAUGUUAUCUACGCUUAAACAAUAAGAUCACCAUAUCCUCCCAAAUAUUUUUCUUUUUCAAAAUCCCUUAUUUCAACCCUUAGCUCCUUCAAUGGGGUGAAAGCCUAUUAUGGUGUUUGCAAAAGCAAUCAGAAUAUUCAUAAAAUUGAAGAUCAUUGUAAUGAUUCAAUGAUGAGAAUUAAAUACCCAUGCAUGAAAUCCACUAGUAAAAGUGAUUGACUAGUAUAAUGAUUUGAUUGAAAUCCUCCAACCAUCUUUGGAAAUCCAUAAAGCUUUAGAUAAAGUUAGUGAGAAGCAUAUAGCUUCAUAAGAGGAUUUAUUGGUGGUAACAAGUUGUAUCUAUUAAUUGAAUCGAUCAUUGGCUAGCUACGUUUAAUAAGAUACUAAGCCACAUGUAAUGAACAGUGUAUAUAUAUAAGUCUUAAACAUGACUUCAUAAGGAAAUUAAACAAAAAUGGAAUAAUUCCCUAAAUUAUGUAAAGUCAAUCGAGAACGUUCUUUAACUAAACUUCUAAAUAGAGAUUUAGUAGGUCUACAUCGAGUGGGAUGGGUUGAAACUUUUAUACUAAAAGGUCCACCAAUGAUGGCAACGUUACCUGUCAUUACUCAAAAGGUAAUCCACAGUUGCAAAGGGUAAUAAUAAGUCAUUCGAUAUGUGGAUAGUUUUAGUUUUAUAUAAAUCCACGAUAACCCUAUCCUAAUUAAAUAAUACAGGUUGUNAAAAAAAAAAAGGUAAACCAUUUAUAUGUAACUUCUUCACUCUGUUUUUGAUACAUCAUUUAUAUGUAAACCAUUAUGUAACUCCAUUAUGUACAAGUAACAUUAUUCUUCUACUACUAAGCUUUGAAAUUAAAUUCGAUAUAAUUGUAGAGGGGAAGCAAAAAGUAGCGAAAGAGGUAAUUGAAGCCAUAGACGAAGAAAAAAGGUCUGUGACAUUUAAGAUCGUUGAGGGUGAUCUGAUGGAGUUAUACAAGACCUUCACAGCCAGUUUUCAUGUUGAAACAAAUGGUGACGUCGAUUUGGUGACAUGGACUUUCGCGUAUGAGAAGCUAAAUGAUGACAUAGAAGAUCCACUAUCAUUGUUGGGUGUUUGCAUUAAGCUUACUAAAGAUAUUGAGUCUCACCAUCUCAAGGCAGCCUAAUAUGCAUAGGAAAGUCUCACUAAGCCAUCUCAAUUUGUGUAUGCGAGUAUGUGUGUUUCUUUUUCGUCAUAGUAACAAAAUAAAUAGUGUUUGCUGAUGUUUCUGAGUGAAAUAAUGCUGUGGCUUGGUUAUACUUGGUUUCAUUGAGUGAUUAAGUGUAUUCUUAUUUUGUGAAAUAAUUAAAGUGCAGAAUGUUAGAGAAUCUCCAAAUCAGAUUUAGAAUUCUGCAUAAUAUCUAUCCAUCAUGUAACCACUGUAUUCUAAAGUUAUUCAAUCUCUAUCUUCUUAGUUUUCAAUUGUAACAAAUUAAUUCUUUAGGUUCAUGCACGCUUUAUAUACUUAGAAAUUAAUGUAUCAAUCUAGGUCUAAAUUUAUUCUUCAAUAUUUUCAAGAU
rnacentral:lncRNA from 1 species